rnacentral:rRNA from 1 species
UGGGGAAUAUUGGCACAAUGGGCGAAAGGCCUGAAUGCAGCAACGCCGCGUGCAGUGAUGAAGGCCCUUCGGGUUGUAAAUGCAUCUGUCUUUUGGGACGAUAAUGACGGUACCAAAGGAGGAAGCCACGGCUAACUACGUGCCAGCAGCCGCGGUAAUACGUAGGUGGCAAGCGUUGUCCGGAUUUUACGGGCGUAAAGGAUGCGUAGGCGGAUUUUUAAGUGAGAUGUGAAAACCCUAAGCUUAACUUGGGGACUGCAUUUCAUACUGGAAAUCUAGAGUGCGGGAGAGGAGAAUGGAAUUCCUAGUGUAGCGGUGAAAUGCGUAGAGAUUAGGAAGAACACCAGUGGCGAAGGCGAUUCUCUGGACCGUAACUGACGCUGAGGCAUGAAAGCGUGGGUAGCAAACAGGAUUAGAUACCCUGGUAGUCCACGCCGUAAACGAUGAGUACUAGGUGUAGGAGGUAUCGACCCCUUCUGUGCCGCAGUUAACACAAUAAGUACUCCGCCUGGGAAGUACGAUCGCAAGAUUAAAACUUAAAUGAAUUGACGGGGGUUAUAGCUGUUUCCU